rnacentral:rRNA from 1 species
GUUUUGCAUGUACCUUAGGAGGAGGGACCGGCAAAUUCCGUACCAGCAGCCGCGGUAAUACGGAAGGUCCGGGCGUUAUCCGGAUUUAUUGGGUUUAAAGGGAGCGCAGGCGGGCGAUUAAGCGUGACGUGAAAUGCAGCGGCUCAACCGUAUGAAGUGCGUCGCGAACUGGUUGCCUUGAGUGAGUUCGACGUGCGCGGAAUUCGUGGUGUAGCGGUGAAAUGCUUAGAUAUCACGAAGAACUCCGAUUGCGAAGGCAGCGCACGAGGCCUUUACUGACGCUAAAGCUCGAAGGUGCGGGUAUCGAACAGGAUUAGAUACCCUGGUAGUCCGCACGGUAAACGAUGGAUGCCCGCUGUUUGCGAUAUAGUGUAAGCGGCCAAGCGAAAGCGUUAAGCAUCCCACCUGGGGAGUACGCCGGCAACGGUGAAACUCAAAGGAAUUGACGGGGGCCCGCACAAGCGGAGGAACAUGUGGUUUAAUUCGAUGAUACGCGAGGAACCUUACCCGGGCUUGAACUGCCAGCGAACGAUACAGAGAUGUUGAGGCCCUUCGGGGCGCUGGUGGAGGUGCUGCAUGGUUGUCGUCAGCUCGUGCCGUGAGGUGUCGGCUUAAGUGCCAUAACGAGCGCAACCCCUCUUUUCAGUUGCCAUCAGGUAAUGCUGGGCACUCUGGAGACACUGCCACCGUAAGGUGUGAGGAAGGUGGGGAUGACGUCAAAUCAGCACGGCCCUUACGUCCGGGGCUACACACGUGUUACAAUGGGUGGUACAGAAAGCAGGAGUGUCGCAAGUCACUCCGAAUCCUGAAAGCCAUCCUCAGUUCGGAUUGGGGUCUGCAACCCGACCCCAUGAAGCUGGAUUCGCUAGUAAUCGCGCAUCAGCCAUGGCGCGGUGAAUACGUUAACGGGCCUUGCACACACCGCCCGUCAAG